AGCUCUCAUUAGGCCCCACCUCUUAAAGGUCCCCCCAUCUCCCAACAGUGCCCUGGGCUGGGACCACACCUUUAACACAUGGGCCUUCCAGGUCCAUACUAUGGCAAUCAAUAUGCCUCAUCCUCUAAUUCAACAAGACCACUAUCUGCCACAUCAGGUCAGAACUUGAUAUGAUUAGAACAAGGGGAAAACUCAGUCUUUUUCCCUGCUCCCCUUUCUCCAACACUGUAGGGGUUCUAAGGAAGCUUACAUAGCCAAGUCUGUGCAUUCUAAACACUAGCUCCCUAAAGAAUUGGUAGAAGAGAGCAUUCAUCUCCUUGCUUAGCUGCAUGCCCCCUUCUAACACUUGUCCCCCUAGAUAUCUGACUCAUCCUUCUGCCCACCAUACCACUACAUCAGUGGUUCUCAGGCCUUAGAAUACAUAAGAAUGACCUGGAGUAUUUAUUAAAACAUUGCUGCCACACCCCCAGAGGUUCAUAGGUCUGGGUGGUCGCCCUGAGAAUUUGCAUUUCUAAUAAGUUUUCCCAGGUGACACUGAUGUUGCUAGAUCAGGAACCCCAUGUUGAGAACUGAUAAGCUGCACAAUUUCAGGAUGUCAGCUCUGCUACACCAGAGAUCACACCCAGUCUGUCUCCACUCCAAGGACCAGAGUGUAGAACAAGCCAUUCAGUGACCCUAUGAUCUUGGAUAGGCAAAGGUAAAUUGUUUCAAACCCUCCACUCCAGAGGAGCCCAUUGCUCAAUGAACCCUUCUGGGUUGCUUUCCCCAGUAGAGUUGGUAGCAUCUUUGACCUUGAACGAGGCUAAUUAGUAGUGGAGAAAAGCAAUCUCAUUAAUUCAACAAAUAUUGAGUGCCCUCUCUGCUCUGGGAUUUAUGCAUCCUUUUAAUAAAACAGACAAAAAUCACACAUGGAACUUACCUUUUUCUAAUAAAGUAAAAACAAGGCUAUUGUGCUUUAGUAGGACUCAGAUAAUUGAUUACUAGAAGUUCUCAGAAGUAUUUAAUUGACUCAGUUUAUACUUGCUAGAUACAAGGACCAAGAGCUCAGUCAGAGACUGAAUGAAUGCUCCAUUGAGAUGAACUACUACCUAAUACCUUUGUAUUUCACAAUUAUAAUGAACAGAGUGCUUUGCUUUGCUUGAAGAUGAUAAAAAC
rnacentral:lncRNA from 1 species